ensembl:miRNA Gm23391 predicted gene, 23391
UGUGCCUUGUUGGUGGAAGUGUGUCACUGGGGAUGGUCUUUGAGGUUUCAGAAGUUCAAGCCAGGCCAACAGUCACUCUCUCUCUUCCUUAUGUCUGCUGAUCC